rnacentral:lncRNA from 1 species
AGUCAGUACCUCCGCCAUGCUGCCGCCAUGAGAGAUGUUGCACUCUUAUUACCAUGUCGUGAUUAUGUUCUUCACGAAGAGAUUCGGUUUUGAAUGGAUAACAUGCUGUAGCCUAACAGUAUACUAAAAAAACGUCUAACUAGCGAGUAAACAUCGUUAUCAGUGCGCGAAAAAAUUCAGUGAAUCUCAUUAUUUCUAUGGAAAUCGUUCUCGGGAAUUGACUUGCCUACAGCCAACGUGCAGCGGAAACCCCAUACCAAAAAGUUGAGUGAGAGACGUGCUGCAACGUUCGGUUCAACAUCAUAGUUUAUUUCCCAGCGGGCGCGGGCCCGCAAGCCGAUUAUUAAGAUCAACUAAACGUCCGUUAUGGGCUACACAACAAUAAGGAAACCAAGUGCUCACUUCGUGGAGGAACCGGUUGAACUUGUCCUUGCUGCAAGAUGGCAUCUGCAUAACGCUGCGGUGGGGUUCCGUCAGCUCAACUAUCAAGAAAAGAAGAAUCUGCAUUUGUGAUCGGGCGUGAAAUCGGCGAAAUUGAAAUGGAAAUUGGAAACAGCCAACUAGACAAUUUAAGAAAGUCCCACUCCCAGUAUGUCGUCCGAGCAUAUGUCCUGAAAGCAGCUGAAAGUGCUGUCCGUAUGCUGAAAUGUCGUCUCGUACUAGAAACUUCAUUGAAUGUUAUAGAUUAAUUUGUUGUUGUUCGCUGAUGCUGAUGCUGAUGCUGUGAAUGAUAGUGUUUGCUGCUCAAUGUGCAGAUGGUGAAAGGUGUUGUUUUCUCUGGUGUUAGUGAAUCUACAGUUAUUUUCUUACCUUCUUCACCUUCUUUGGACAUGUGGUUUGUACAGGAACAUUGUCUUGGUGAUUAGAAUUACUUGGUUUUUAAAAUACAUGGCUAGAAAUGUUAACUUAAGAAUCAGUCAAAAAGGUAGUGCUGAAGCCUUUUGAAGAAAGAUGAUGAAUUGCUUUUUUGUUUAUCUUCACUUGCUUUACCUGUGAAUUAGCUAUUCCUGUAAUCUAAAUUCCACUGGCCUAAUCAUCUGAUCUCAAAGCUUGACUACUGUUCAUUUUCCAGAAACCAGAAAAAAACUUGACAAAAAAGUAAUCGUGUUUAUUAAUUUCCUUUAAAGCAAGCUGUAAAUGUCAGUGAUUGAAGAGCAGAGAGUAGAUUCCUUUGUUUAAUUUUUGUGUAAUUUUACGUAACAUCUUAAGAUGUGAUUUUAUGUGAUUGAAUUUUCAUCUUUACCCCAUUUUUUAAAAUUUGGUAUGCUUGUUUACCCUUCGACUCUGUGAAAUCUCUACAAAUUUAACUAUUUAAGUAACCGCUAAAUUCAACUUUACUCCGUUCAUACAAUUUGUAGGCCUGGUUUACAGAAAGUUACCGAUGACGAAAGUCAAGCCAUCAUCUGCAUUCUUCCGACUCGCAAUAAUGAAUUUCAAGCUGCAGACGGGACGAACAGUUUGCUUGGCCUUCUCGCUUGAAGGUCACGAGAAACAUUACGUAAAACUGGCAUGCGGUAGUGUAGAGGUUGGGUGAGAAUGACACGUGUUUCAUCAUUAUCAAAGCAGGUACAAUAGCC